UUUCCCUGCUAGCUCCUGUCCCUGAAAUCCGUCCUGUGUCCGGAGCACAGCUCGGGGCUGGGCUUUGCCGGAGUAUUUGCUGCAUGGGGGGCAGAGGGCCUGGCCUCUGCUAAGCACAUGGACACAGGUGUUGUCUGUCUGUCCUGCUUCAUGUCCUUCCUCUCUUAAUUUCACAUUAGCUAAUGCAUUUUGGCACCAAGAGCUACAGGUGUCAUCCCCGUGUAGGAUUAAGGCUGACACUUGCCCUGAGACUCAAGCAGGAAUAUCAGUUUCCCCUUUCUCUUUGCCACCUCCUGCCUGGGAAACCGCAGGCAGGGCCAGCAAGGAGAUCCAGUUUGUCUCUCUGUCAACACACCACACCAGCAAGAGAGAGGCUGUGUGUAUCGCCCUGAUGUUCCUUUUUUCCUCUUCUUUGCCCUCAUCAGCCCUGAGUGCCAUUUAGCAGCGUUAGCUGGCUACUCCUCUCAGUUGGACACCGAUUACUCCCUGUUGGAGAGCUGUCAGUGAGGGGAAAGCCAUACAUCGCAGCGGGAAGUGAUCUCACCCGGCAGGGGGGCACCUCUUCCCAGCCAAAACAGCGUGGCUUUGACAGGCUUGAUGUAUUUAUUAUCUUCUUGGUGCAGAAAUGCUGCCACAGCAGGCAGCGGCGUUGGGGGGAGCAUGCUACUGGUGACUUAGAAGGGAAAGCGAGGAGAACAAAGUGCCAAGGAGCUGUCUGGAGGCAGCUGAUGGCAGGGUGCAGGAAGGGGUAAGAAGAGCAUGAAGGAAAGGAAAAGACUAUUGAAAAAAAAAGGAAACAAUUCCUUGUACUCGUGCUUAACUCAUCUCCUUAACUCCAGGGAGUCAAGAGGGCAGAGGAGAAGCAAAAACAAACAGCAAGUGAAAGAAGAGCGAGGUUGCAGCCCAGCUGAGUAUGAUAUCCCAACCAGGUGGAGCUGGCUGAGUGAAGCUUCAGAAAGCUGCCACCUUGUUCCUAUGUAAUAUUGCAAAUGUGGAGUUUGCAAGUGACUGCAGGCCCUCCUCAAAGGAUGAGAAAAGUAUUUCUUGUGCCAUGAGGAAAACUCGCUGUGGGGCGAAGUUGCUUUUACUGAAGUCUACUGAUUGACUGGCUAAAAUAAACUGCAGGCUUCAAAGUCA
rnacentral:lncRNA from 1 species